rnacentral:lncRNA from 10 species
AGAGACGGGGUUUCUCCAUGUUGGUCAGGCUGGUCUCGAACUCCCGACCUCAGGUGAUCCGCCCACCUCCCAACGUGGUGGCGGGAUUACAGGCAUGAGCCACCGCGCCCGGCUGCAUGACAUAUAUUUUAGUUUUUGAAAAAUAUUUUAGCAAAAGUCACUUUAGUGAGGCCUUACUUAACUGCACAGUCUAAAAAUAGAACUUCUCCACCACUUCAUUGCUUUUGGUUUUUCCUCACACUCUGUACAUGUGAUUGUGCUGGUCAUCUCCUUCACUAGCAAAUCAGCUCACCAAGUUGGGGCUUUGUCUAUUUACCGUUGUGUUCCCAGUGGACACUCGAUGUUAAGAUUCAACGAAUGAAUGCCUGGACGAGUGGUAUCUGGGCUCACAGGUAACCUCACAGCCCACCGGGAGGACACUGCCAGAGCUGCUCUGCACUGCGAGUCCCGGGCCUUCCCAUUGGACGCUAAGGCACUCGUUAACUGCUGUGUAAACGCAGCCUGACUUCCCUCACCUCAGGCGAGGCCCGCAUCAGGCCCCUCUGACCUAGGACCUCCCGAUCCGGCCGUUAUCGCCAACCGUAUCUGUGUGGUUUCGUGGAGGAAGCGCGGUGGACCUUGAGGGGAGGGUACGCGCAGGCACAAUAAAGCAGAAAGCCGCUAUAAUAAUGAUGAUAAUGAAGAAAAACAAAAGCAUCCAUUCGUCACUUAGUGGCAAGCGUUUUUCCAACUACUUUCCGAGUAGUAACUGCUUGCCAGAGUUUCCCCAGCUUGGGCCGGAAGGUGAGGCGGUAGCUCGAGCUUUGCCUUUCUCAGGCAUUGUCCUGCGUUUGCGGGGCCAGGCGCUGGCACACGGUCACUAACCCCUGGUCGUUAGCUUCGAUUCCCGGCCUGGGAGAGCGCUAUCGGCCACUCCUGGCUGCAUUGCAGUCGCGGCUUUCUCCAGAGCUCCGCCGGGAACGGGAAGCGCUGAAACGUCGCGACCAGUCAGUAGGGUUCCCACGGCCGCAACUCGGGUGUGACGCGGCAGGCUGGCACCAGCGGACACAAGUAUGAGGCUAAGUGAGAAGCGCUCUGCUUCCGAGUGUCAGGAUGGCCGAGUGGUCUAAGGCGCCAGACUCAAGGUAAGCACCUUGCCUGCGGGCUUUCUGGUCUCCGGAUGGAGGCGUGGGUUCGAAUCCCACUUCUGACACAUUCGUUUUAUUAGCAUUUUAUUCCCCGGAAGAAACCCCAGAAUUUUCCCGGAGUCCGUUGGUAUUUUAUUGUCUUCUCCAGGAAGAAGGUUACAACUAGACUACUCAUCUUUGCUGCCCGGUUUUCCCUGUCUGCCGCAGCAAGGGGGCUACCUACCAAGGGGAGGGAAGCACUAAAUGACGCAUCAUGUCUUCCCUGGUGGUCUAGUGGUUAGGAUUCGGCGCUCUCACCGCCGCGGCCCGGGUUCGAUUCCCGGUCAGGAAAGUAAGCCGUUUUAAAAACUGUUGCCGCAGGGCUAACCAUAGGUGAUGUUCCCAGAGUCAGCUAUGACUUGACUUCUAAACAAAGGGCAAAACGCACCUGGUGUCCUCAUUUUGCAGAGUAGUUACCUGAAAUGGACUCUACUGCAGUUUAUGCGCGCCGUAUAUGUAGUCAGUGUCUUUACUCAUGAUAUCUUAAGAACGGAGAAAAAAUGCCAGCAGCACAAAAUGAUCCAAAAAGAUAGCUCUGGGUAUGCCAAAAAUGGCUGGUCUUAAAAUUAUGUCACAGAUUUCAAAAAGUCUCCCU